rnacentral:rRNA from 1 species
GAUGAACGCUAGCUACAGGCUUAGCACAUGCAAGUCGAGGGGCAGCGCAGUGUAGCAAUACACGGGCGGCGACCGGCGCACGGGUGCGUAACGCGUAUCCAACCUUCCCGUUACUCAGGGAUAGCCUUCCGAAAGGGAGAUUAACACCUGAUGGUGUUUGAAUUCCGCAUGUUAUUCAAACUAAAAAUUUAUCGGUAACGGAUGGGGAUGCGUGACAUUAGAUAGUAGGCGGGGUAACGGCCCACCUAGUCUACGAUGUCUAGGGGUUCUGAGAGGAAGGUCCCCCACACUGGAACUGAGACACGGUCCAGACUCCUACGGGAGGCAGCAGUGAGGAAUAUUGGUCAGUGGUCGGAAGACUGAACCAGCCAAGUAGCGUGAAGGAUGAAGGUUCUAUGGAUUGUAAACUUCUUUUAUACGGGAAUAAAGCCCACUACGUGUAGUGGUUUGUAUGUACCGUAUGAAUAAGCAUCGGCUAACUCCGUGCCAGCCGCCGCGGUAAAAC